UAGCUGCGGUGGUGCCAAUAUUCUGAUAAAGGGUCAGCCAUGCAUGGCGGAGGUGGUCCGGGCGGAGGUGGAGGUCCAGGAGGAGGAGGGCCUGGUGGAUGGGGUGGAGGUCCUGGAGGGGGUGGCCCUGGUGGAUGGGGAGGAGGACCCGGAGGGCCAGGAGGACCAGGAGGGCCAGGAGGACCAGGAGGACCAUGGGGUCCUGGCCCGGGAGGCCCGGGAGGACCUUGGGGUCCGGGGCCUGGCGGACCUCCUUGGGGUCCGGGAUUUGGCGGACCUUGGUGGGGAGGACCUGGUGGCUUCUUUGGUGGGUUUGGCAAUGGCCUAUGUGACAUGAUAUCUUCUUGGUAAGUAUGAGUUUUGAUAUCUUGGCAUUUCUUGUGACUUGUUUCUGUUAGCUUGCAACAU
rnacentral:lncRNA from 1 species